AUUGAACGCUGGCGGCAUGCCUAACACAUGCAAGUCGAACGGCAGCACGGCAGUAGCAAUACUGUGGGUGGCGAGUGGCGGACGGGUGAGGAAUACGUCGGAAUCUGCCCAGUCGUGGGGGAUAACUAGCCGAAAGGUUUGCUAAUACCGCAUACGACCGAGAGGUGAAAGCGGGGGACCGCAAGGCCUCGCGCGAUUGGAUGAGCCGACGUCGGAUUAGCUAGUUGGAGGGGUAAAGGCCCACCAAGGCGACGAUCCGUAGCUGGUCUGAGAGGAUGAUCAGCCACACUGGAACUGAGACACGGUCCAGACUCCUACGGGAGGCAGCAGUGGGGAAUAUUGGACAAUGGGCGCAAGCCUGAUCCAGCAAUGCCGCGUGUGUGAAGAAGGCCUUCGGGUUGUAAAGCACUUUUAUCAGGAACGAAAAGCGUUGGAUUAAUACUCUGACGUGCUGACGGUACCUGAGGAAUAAGCACCGGCUAACUUCGUG
rnacentral:rRNA from 1 species